ACGAACGCUGGCGGCGUGCUUAACACAUGCCAGUCGCACGGAAAGGCCCUGCUUUUGUGGGGUGCUCGAGUGGCGAACGGGUGAGUAACACGUGAGUAACCUGCCCUUGACUUUGGGAUAACUUCAGGAAACUGGGGCUAAUACCGGAUAGGAGCUCCUGCUGCAUGGUGGGGGUUGGAAAGUUUCGGCGGUUGGGGAUGGACUCGCGGCUUAUCAGCUUGUUGGUGGGGUAGUGGCUUACCAAGGCUUUGACGGGUAGCCGGCCUGAGAGGGUGACCGGCCACCAUGGGGAUUAAGAAAGGGCCCAACCUCUUCGGGGGGGAGGCGGGGGGGAAUAUUGCACAUGGGGGGAAGCCUUGUUGAAGAACCGCGCGGGGGGGAAGAAGGCCCUUCGGGUUGAAAACGCCUUUCGCUUGUAAGAAGGGGUAGGGAACGGUAUGGGUUAAGGAGGAACGGGCAACCUACGU
rnacentral:rRNA from 1 species